rnacentral:rRNA from 1 species
GAUGAACGCUAGCGGCAGGCUUAAUACAUGCAAGUCGAGGGGCAGCAUGAGUGUAGCAAUACAUUUGAUGGCGACCGGCAAACGGGUGCGGAACACGUACUGAACCUUCCUUUAAGUGGGGAAUAGCCCAGGGAAACUUGGAUUAAUACCCCGUAACAUAAUGAAGUGGCAUCACUUUAUUAUUAUAGCUCCGGCGCUUAAAGAUGGCAGUGCGGCUGAUUAGGUAGUUGGCGGGGUAACGGCCCACCAAGCCUGCGAUCAGUAACUGGUGUGAGAGCACGACCAGUCACACGGGCACUGAGACACGGGCCCGACUCCUACGGGAGGCAGCAGUAAGGAAUAUUGGGCAAUGGACGCAAGUCUGACCCAGCCAUGCCGCGUGGAGGAUGAAGGUCCUCUGGAUUGUAAACUUCUUUUAUAUGGGACGAAAAAGGGUCUUUCUAGAUCAACUGACGGUACCAUAUGAAUAAGCACCGGCUAACUCCGUGCCAGCAGCCGCAGUAAUAC